rnacentral:rRNA from 1 species
UACGUAGGGUCCAAGCGUUAUCCGGAAUCACUGGGCGUAAAGCGUGCGUAGGUGGCGCGUUAAGUGAGAUGUUAAAUCGUGUGGCUCAACCAUAUCGAUGCAUCUCAUACUGGCGUGCUAGAGGACAGCAGAGGCAAGUGGAAUUGGUAGUGUAGCAGUGAAAUGCGUAGAUAUUACCAGGAACACCAAUGGCGAAGGCAGCUUGCUGGGCUACUCCUGACACUGAGGUACGAAGGCGUGGGGAGCGAACAGG